AAGUCGUAACAAGGUUUCCGUAGGUGAACCUGCGGAAGGAUCAUUAGUGAAAUCUCGACGGCUGUGCGCCUUCGGGCCGCACGCCGUCGCUCCACACAUCUGUGCACCUUCGACGGGAGGGGGAGACCUUUCCUGUCGCUUCAUUAACAAAAGUUAGUCCUGAAUGUAAUCAUAUCGUAAAAAUACAACUUUCAGCAACGGAUCUCUUGGCUCUCGCAUCGAUGAAGAACGCAGCGAAAUGCGAUAAGUAAUGUGAAUUGCAGAAUUCAGUGAAUCAUCGAAUCUUUGAACGCACCUUGCGCCCCGUGGCUUUCCACGGGGCACGCCCGUUCGAGUGUCACGUUAACCCUCGCCAACGACGUAGCGAUACGCCGGGAAGCGGAUUUGGGCGUUGCCGGUCGUGAGAUCGGCUCGUCUCGAAAUGCAUUAGCGAAGUGCGAAGCACGCGCGACGUUGAUAAUUGUCUACGCCUUGCGGACUUUGUCCCUCGCUUCUAAUCGUCGUGAGACAAUUUACUCAAAGUUUGACCUCGAAUCGGGUGGGACUACCCGCUGAACUUAAGCAUAUCAAUAAGCGGAGGAAAAGAAACUAACAAGGAUUCCCCUAGUAACGGCGAGUGAAGCGGGAAGAGCUCAAAUUUGUAAUCUGGCGGUCUCGCGGCCGUCCGAGUUGUAGUCUAGAGAGGUGUUAUCCGCGGCGGACCACGUACAAGUCCUUUGGGAUGCGGCGUCAUAGAGGGUGAGAAUCCCGUCCAUGACGUGGACUACCGUCGCUUUGCGUUGCGCCUUCGAAGAGUCGAGUUGUUUGGGAAUGUAGCUCAAAACGGGUGGUAAAUUCCAUCUAAAGCUAAAUAUUGGCGAGAGACCGAUAGCGAACAAGUACCGUGAGGGAAAGAUGAAAAGAACUUUGGAAAGAGAGUUAAACAGUACGUGAAAUUGCUGAAAGGGAAACGCUUGAAGUCAGUCGCGUCUUCGAGGAUUCAGCUCGGCUUCUGUCGGGCGCACUUCCUCUGGAGACGGGCCAGCAUCAGUUUCGGGCGUCGAAGAAUGGCGGGAGGAAUGUGGCACCUUCGGGUGUGUUAUAGCCUCUCGUCGGACGCGACGCCUGGGACUGAGGAACGCUUUCAAUAGGAUGCUGGCGUAAUGGCUUUAAACGACC
rnacentral:rRNA from 1 species